rnacentral:lncRNA from 1 species
UUAUGGUUAUUGAAAUUUAAUUUUAAGUAUAAUUAUUAUAUUUAAAAGAAACGAUAUUUGAUUCUGAUUUUAAUUUUUAGUAAAAACCUUAUUAAAAUUGGAACCAAACAGCUCUAGCAGGCUUGUAAGUCAGUUUGGCGGGUGUUGUUGGCGCAUAAAUCUUUGUUCGAUUCACAACAGCCAUAGAUGCCACAUUGUCCAUGGUAGUUUCACCUAAAACCCAACGCUUAUCAAGCUCAAUCUUAUUACUUAUCAAAAACGCUAUAUACAGAAAAGAAUUAGCCGAAAAAUCGCACCUAGAGGCCGCGAGGACAAAAAGCCCUCGCCUUCAAAAUCAAGAGAUUUAUCCGCAUCAGCGGGGGUGGACUCUGAAACGAAUCUUACCAGCGGAUCAGAAGAUUGCAGCUCAAGUCACGGGGCGCCGCCGUUCCAUCAUUUAUUGAGAAUGAAGCCUCGGCCGAAGCCGCAACUGCCGCCUCCUAUGGUUCCAUCAAGGAGAAAGCAGCCCAUCAUAUGCCAUAAACAAUCCAGACAAAAAGAAGAAAUGGCGUAAAGAAAGAGGCUUCAGUAUCUUGGUUCUUUUGGAGGAUGGAGCAGAAGAAGCUGGAUGUGAGCGCUUGGAGGUAGAAGAGCUGCGCCUGGUUUUAACCAUGGUGUUUGGUCCUAUCUGAUUCCAACAACCAACCGCAGGGGAACAAGAAGUCAAGAACCGCAGGAGUUGUUUGGUUUGUUGAGAGAGAGAGAGAGAGAGAGGAGAGAUCAGUUGGCAUUCAUCAGCGAUUUGGUUUUAAUAUUUCAGUUUUAUUCACGUUCGUAUCCCGUUCCAGCAAUAGUGAUCCGUUGUUCCGUUUAAACAAAAAAAAAUUGUGAUUUAUCCU